ACCCAUGGAGACGGCAGCGCUGACCUCGGCGGAGCGGAUUUUAUUCCAACUCUCAUUCACCGCAGAGGGACAAGAUGAACUAUUCCGAAUUAGUUAACGUCUUUAAAGCGGGCGCAUAGCGUCUGACCUGUGGGGGAACAAAGUAUGUCAUCCUUAAACCUGCUUGGGAUGGUGCAUUUGGAGCCAAGGAAAAUUCAUUGUCAGCUUUUGUAAAUGAUUCAAAAGGAUCUUUUGAUGCCAACUUCCCUGACAAAAAUCCAGCAAACGUACUGGAGUGGUGGUUUUUGGACCCAUCAGCUCAAGUAGUAACAGAGGGAGCACUGCUUGAAGAUGAAAAGAUGACAGAAGUAGCUUCACACUAGCCAGUGUGAUCACACAAGCAGAUGAGGAAAUAUAUAUGUCAAAAAUCUUUGUCAUUUUUUUCUGACUGUACAUGUUGCCAAUACUGAACUAUCAAUGUUUUUCAUUUGUACCUUAAUCAUACUGCAGAUUUUUAAAAAUCUCCCUGAUUGCAUUGCAAUAAAAAUAUUUCUCAAAAAUACAGUUAUAACCACAGUCCUUCAUCCAACUCAUUAUGUAACUCUAAAAAUAAACUUUAAUACAUAUUUUAUGCAUAAAGAACUUGCAAUUUUUUAAAAAAGCAGCUUUUACAUCCUCAGGACCCAGCGUUUAAAUUAUUUUUUUUAAGUAUGGACACUGUUGUGUAGGUGAAUGGGGCAGCUAAUUUACACUCAAGCCCCGCUAACAACUAUUAUGACACGGCCGAUGGUAAAGGCUGAGUUGUUCAAAUCCCAGAGGGAAACUUGAAGCAACUGUCAUAACCCACUUUUUUGCAAUUUGUAUGUUUGGAGAUGGAGGCUUUGAAUUCGGUAGUGACAAGACCACUGAGUCUCUAGAGGUUUUUUUUUAUAAAACUAAAUUAAACAUUUA